GAUGAACGCUAGCGGCAGGCCUAACACAUGCAAGUCGAGGGGCAGCGCGGGGUAGCAAUACCCUGGCGGCGACCGGCGCACGGGUGCGUAACGCGUAUGCAACCUGCCCUGUACAGGGGGAUAACGGGGUGAAAACUCCACUAAUAUCCCAUAGUGCCACUUGGUCGCAUGGCCGGGUGGCUAAAGCUUCGGUGGUACAGGAUGGGCAUGCGUGACAUUAGGUAGUUGGCGGGGCAACGGCCCACCAAGCCCACGAUGUCUAGGGGAGCUGAGAGGCUAAUCCCCCACACUGGUACUGAGACACGGACCAGACUCC
rnacentral:rRNA from 1 species